GCUGGGAUGGCUCAGUCGCUAGAGCAUGAGACUCUUAAUCUUAGGGUUGUGGGUUCAAGCCUCACAUGGAGCA
rnacentral:tRNA from 1 species